UCGAAGGGCCAUCCACUCCCCUUCCUGCCAAACACUGGCAGCCGCUCAUGAUCUGCUCCUACCAUAAUUGCAGGAAGUUGUCAACAUGAAAAUUCCAACAGCCAACCGGAAAAUCGAAGUGGAAAAAUGGACCACGCCCUGCGGUUGUCUACAUCUCCAAAAUGUGGAAAACCUCCGUCCUUGCCCACCUUGUUGCUGACUGUUUUCAACCCAGCUAAGACCUCCGCUCGUAUUUCUGGAAGAACAAAGAUACGGGGAGGCCGUAUGUGUCAAGUGCGAGUCGAGAGGGGUGGGAGGGAACAAAAGCAGACAGCCCGGCCGCGGAGACAUUCCUGGGAAUGCGCACUUUGGCUCAUUUCCAAGGUCAGGGAUGUUCAGCCCAACCAGAUUAACCCCCUGAUCCUCGUGGUUCAAUAAAAGCACUUCUGUCAUCCUC